rnacentral:lncRNA from 1 species
GUUUCAGUGAGUUGAUGUAAGGUAGUGAAAAAUGAGAUUAAGGUAGUGAAAAAUUGGGUUUUUUUAUUCUGUGUCCAAAUCAAACGAACCAAGUCUCUAUUUGUAGAGAAAAAAAAAAUUAUGAAUUUUGGUAUAAAAAAAAAUAAAAAAUUAAUUUACAACGAAAUAAUUGAGUUCAAAGUAUUAAAUGGAAAAAAAUCACGCUCAGCC